UACGUAGGGUGCGAGCGUUACUCGGAAUUACUGGGCGUAAAGCGUGCGCAGGCGGUUUUGUAAGUCUGUCGUGAAAUCCCCGGGCUCAACCUGGGAAUUGCGAUGGAGACUGCACGGCUAGAGUGUGUCAGAGGGGGGUAGAAUUCCACGUGUAGCAGUGAAAUGCGUAGAUAUGUGGAGGAACACCGAUGGCGAAGGCAGCCCCCUGGGAUAACACUGACGCUCAUGCACGAAAGCGUGGGGAGCAAACAGG
rnacentral:rRNA from 1 species